UACGGGGGGAGCAAGCGUUGUUCGGAUUUACUGGGCGUAAAGGGCGCGUAGGCGGCGCAACAAGUCACUUGUGAAAUCUCCGGGCUUAACCCGGAGCGGCCAAGUGAUACUGUCGUGCUAGAGUGCGGAAGGGGCUACUGGAAUUCUCGGUGUAGCGGUGAAAUGCGUAGAUAUCGAGAGGAACACCUGCGGCGAAGGCGGCUUCCUGGCCUGUUCUUGACGCUGAGGCGCGAAAGCUAGGGGAGCAAACGGG
rnacentral:rRNA from 1 species